GUGAACGCUGGCGGUAGGCCUAACACAUGCAAGUCGCACGGCAGCACAGUAAGAGCUUGCUCUUACGGGUGGCGAGUGGCGGACGGGUGAGGAAUACAUCGGAAUCUACUUUUUCGUGGGGGAUAACGUAGGGAAACUUACGCUAAUACCGCAUACGACCUACGGGUGAAAGCAGGGGAUCUUCGGACCUUGCGCGAUUGGAUGAGCCGAUGUCGGAUUAGCUAGUUGGCGGGGUAAAGGCCCACCAAGGCGACGAUCCGUAGCUGGUCUGAGAGGAUGAUCAGCCACACUGGAACUGAGACACGGUCCAGACUCCUACGGGAGGCAGCAGUGGGGAAUAUUGGACAAUGGGCGCAAGCCUGAUCCAGCCAUACCGCGUGGGUGAAGAAGGCCUUCGGGUUGUAAAGCCCUUUUGUUGGGAAAGAAAAGCAGCAGGUUAAUACCCCGCUGUUCUGACGGUACCCAAAGAAUAAGCACCGGCUAACUUCGUG
rnacentral:rRNA from 1 species